ACAGUUCAUUUUCUUGGGGGUUGCAGUUCUAACCUAACCUAACCCACUUUUCAGACAACAGUUCGUUUUCUUGGGGGACGCAGUUUUAACCUAACCUAACCCACUUUUCUGGCAACAUUCGUUUUCUUGGGGGUCGCAGUUCUAACCUAACCUAACCCACCUUUCAGGCAACAGUUUGUUUUCGUGGGGUCGCAGUUCUAACCUAACCUAACCCACUUUUCUGGCAACAUUCGUUUUCUUGGGGGACGCAGUUUUAACCUAACCUAACCCACUUUUCUGGCAACAGUUUGUUUUCGUGAGGUCGCAGUUCUAACCUAACCUAACCCACUUUUCUGGCAAUAGUUCGUUUUC